rnacentral:rRNA from 1 species
GUCGGCCUCGGAUCGGGCAGGGUUACCCGCUGAACUUAAGCAUAUCAGUAAGCGGAGGAAAAGAAACCAACAGGGAUUGCCUCAGUAGCGGCGAGCGAAGCGGCAACAGCCCAAAUUUGAAAUCUGGCAUCGCCUUUGUGGUGAAGUCCGAGUUGUAGCUUGGAGAGGAUGUCCCGGGCGACGCGCUGGCCGAGUUUCCUGGAACGGAACGCUGUAAAGGGUGAAAGCCCCGUGCGGCUUUAGUGCUUAGCCUAAUUUGGGGCUCCUUCGAAGAGUCGGGUAGCUUGGGAAUGCUGCCCUAAGCGGGAGGUAAAUUUCUUCUAAGGCUAAAUAUUGACCGGAGACCGAUAGCGAACAAGUAGAGUGAUCGAAAGAUGAAAAGUACCCUGAAAAGAGGUUUAAAUAGCACGUGAAACUGCUGGGGGGGAAGCGCCUGCGAGCAGAACACGGGCGGUACGUUACGGCCUAGCAGAAAUCUGCCAGGAUCCCACGCGCCGCCCGGGCCAGCGCCGGCUUGUGCCCGGGAACGUGGGUCCAGGGAAUGUAGCCCUCUCCGGGGGGUGUUAUAGACCUGGGCUGUGGGCCCGGGCAGCAGGCCGAGGACCGCGCCAUGUGGCGAGGACGU